rnacentral:misc_RNA from 1 species
GCAAACUUGGUCAUUUAGAGGAAGUAAAAGUCGUAACAAGGUUUCCGUAGGUGAACCUGCGGAAGGAUCAUUACCGAGUGAGGGUUCCUUGAGGGCCCAACCUCCCACCCGUGUUUAACUAUACCGUGUUGCUUUGGCGGGCCCACUGGGGCUUUGUUCCCGGUCGCCGGGGGGGAAACCCCCGGGCCUGUUGCCCGCCAAAGACCCUACCAACUCUGUUUGAAUUAGUUGGUCUGAGCAAUGAUGAUAAAUCGUUAAAACUUUCAACAACGGAUCUCUUGGUUCCGGCAUCGAUGAAGAACGCAGC